rnacentral:rRNA from 1 species
AACGAACGCUGGCGGCAUGCCUAACACAUGCAAGUCGAACGAGACCUUCGGGUCUAGUGGCGCACGGGUGCUUAACGCGUGGGAACCUGCCCUUAGGUUCGGAAUAACUCCCCGAAAGGGGUGCUAAUACCGGAUAAUGUCUUCGGACCAAAGAUUUAUCGCCUUUUGAUGGGCCCUCGUUGGAUUAGCUAGUUGGUAGGGUAAAAGCCUACCAAGGGGACGAUCCAUAGCUGGUCUGAGAGGAUGAUCAGCCACACUGGGACUGAGACACGGCCCAGACUCCCACGGGAGGCAGCAGUGGGGAAUAUUGGACAAUGCGCGAAAGCCUGAUCCAGCCAUGCCGCGUGAGUGAGGAAGGCCUUAGGGUUGUAAAGCUCUUUUAACCGGGAUGAUAAUGACAGUACCGGGAGAAUAAGCUCCGGCUAACUCCGUG